CAAGCUGAAAGAAAAAUUCUCGUCUCAGCCACAUAAAAGAUCCUUCCUCUGAUAUUCUGCACUCACUGGAGCUCCGCAUGUGGUGGGAAGAAUGGAAGGGCAGAACAGAGAUAAAUCGUGUGCUGGUAUAAGCAAACUUGACUGCUACAUUUCUUCAGUGAGGUACUGCCCUUGAGAGGUAGCGAGUGCCCCUUGGACAUGAAGGAUGUCCUGAAUUUCCACCGUCUUCAGUAAGAGGAGAGAAUAUUCAGCACCAGGUAGGAUGAAGUAAAGGAGAGCUGAUUUAUUGUACAAAAA
rnacentral:lncRNA from 1 species